GAUGAACGCUGGCGGCGUGCCUAAUACAUGCAAGUCGAGCGAACAGACGAGGAGCUUGCUCCUCUGACGUUAGCGGCGGACGGGUGAGUAACACGUGGAUAACCUACCUAUAAGACUGGGAUAACUUCGGGAAACCGGAGCUAAUACCGGAUAAUAUCUUGCACCGCAUGGUUCAAUAGCGAAAUACGGUUUUGCUGUCACUUAUAGAUGUAUCCGCGCCGCAUUAGCUAGUUGGUAAGGUAACGGCUUACCAAGGCAACGAUGCGUAGCCGACCUGAGGGGGUGAUCGGCCACACUGGAACUGAGACACGGUCAAGACUCCUACGGGAGGCAGCAGUAGGGAAUCUUCCGCAAUGGGCGAAAGCCUGACGGAGCAACGACGAGUGAGUGAUGAAGGUCUUCGGAUCGUAAAACUCUGUUAUUAGGGAAGAAAAAAUGUGUAAGUAACUAUGCACGUCAUGACGGUACCUAAUCAGAAAGCCACGGCUAACUACGUG
rnacentral:rRNA from 1 species